CUACGAAGGGGGCUAGCGUUGUUCGGAAUUACUGGGCGUAAAGCGCGCGUAGGCGGAUUGGUCAGUUAGGGGUGAAAUCCCAGGGCUUAACCCUGGAACUGCCUCUAAUACUGCCAGUCUUGAGUUCGGGAGAGGUGAGUGGAAUUCCUAGUGUAGAGGUGAAAUUCGUAGAUAUUAGGAAGAACACCAGUGGCGAAGGCGGCUCACUGGCCCGAUACUGACGCUGAGGCGUGAAAGCGUGGGGAGCAAACAGGAUUAGAAACCCUAGUAGUCC
rnacentral:rRNA from 1 species